UUCCUUUCACUUAUCCGCAGAACUUUUCUUUACUUCUCUUUUUCUUUGCUGCAUUUUCUAUUCCCCAACUGGUAGGUACCUCAAUCGACCAUGGAGAAGUACAAAACCCUAGAAAUCGUUCAGCAAAAUCCAAACUCUCCAGUCUUCAACCUACACCUCAAUCGACCGUCACUUCUCAACGCACUCUCUCUCGAUUUCUUCACAGAAUUCCCCAAAGCCCUAUCGUCUCUCGAUCAAAACCCUAACGUCGCCGUCAUAGUCCUCUCCGGCAACGGCCAUCACUUCUGCUCCGGCAUCGAUCUCAAAGCCCUAAGCUCAAUCACCUCCGAAUCCAGCGACCACGGCCGCACAGCCGAGCGCGUCCGGCGAGAGAUCAAGCGCUUCCAGGAAGCGGUCACGGCCGUAGAGAGGUGUCGGAAGCCAGUAAUCGCCGCUGUGCACGGGGCUUGUAUCGGCGGCGGUGUUGAUAUCAUCACCGCCUGUGACAUUAGGUAUUGUACGGAGAGAGCGUUUUUCUCAGUGAAGGAGGUUGAUCUGGCGAUCACGGCUGAUCUCGGGACGCUUCAGAGGCUUCCUAGUAUUAUUGGGCAUGGGAGCACGAUGGAGUUGGCGUUGACUGGAAGGAGGUUUUCGGGAUCGGAAGCCAAGGAAUUGGGGCUUGUUUCCAAGGUUUUUUCGACCAAGGACGCCAUGGAUGAAGGUGUCAGAGCUGUUGCUGAGGAAAUCGGAGCCAAGUCUCCCCUUGCAGUCACUGGAACAAAGGCAGUUUUACUAAGGAGUCGGGACCUAACUUUGGAUCAGGGGUUAGAUUACGUUGCUACUUGGAACUCUGGAAUGCUUUUAUCUGAUGAUCUUGUAGAGGCAAUCUCUUCGUACAGCCAGAAGCGGAGACCUUCUUUUUCCAAGCUCUGAUGUUGUCUACCCAGCCAGGCCUUCAUGGCAAGCCGCCUCCUCCAUAGGCUGCUUGUGCGAACCUUUCAAUUGCAGGAUCUACGACGUAGACAGUUUGAAUUAUUAAUGUGGAUCCGAAUUAGUUCCCACAAGAUGGGUAUGAAUAAGUAUGGAGAGCUUAUCCUGAGAGAAAUUGUUCGUCUAUUUUUGACAUUCUUGUCAAUAAAUAAUGCGUUUUCAUAGAUAUUAAAAGAUCUUAAUAAGUUCAUAUAGACAUAGUCUUCAAAAUCGUUGAAAAUGGAAUAAAUUAAAAAAUAAUAAAAAUGAACAAACAAUUUGAGACGGAGGGAAGCUAAAUUACAUGCAACGGCAGAAAAUCUCAUCAAGAAAAUUGUCAAGCCCAUCAAGAGAUUCUCAAAAAAAAUUAUUGUUACCAAAUUCUUAUCACAAAAAUGUGUGGACAAUGCAACAAGUCCAUUGAAUGUUAUACAUUCAAAAUUUGUCACACAUGUUCUUUUGACUGCAACUUUAAGCGGAACACAAUAGAAUGAGUCAAUAGCAAACAUAUCAGCAAAAAACAAAACAAAAUUAAUUGUACUGAUCAAUUAGCUGGUCAGUGUUGGAUGAUUGAACUUAUCGACAACAUAUUUGAUCAUAAAAAAACACUUUCAUUUAUUUUCAUUUGUUGGAGAUGUCUUCCCCAUCAGUCAUCUUCAGAAGAAAAGAAGAAAGGGAAUAAAAAAAAAA